rnacentral:rRNA from 1 species
GUGAGGAAUAUUGGUCAAUGGGCGAGAGCCUGAACCAGCCAAGUCGCGUGAAGGAAGAAGGAUCUAUGGUUCGUAAACUUCUUUUGCAGGGGAAUAAAGUGCGGGACGUGUCCUGUUUUGUAUGUACCCUGAGAAUAAGGAUCGGCUAACUCCGUGCCAGCAGCCGCGGUAAUACGGAGGAUCCGAGCGUUAUCCGGAUUUAUUGGGUUUAAAGGGGGCGUAGGUGGUUUGAUAAGUCAGCGGUGAAAGUUUGCAGCUUAACUGUAAAAAUGCCGUUGAAACUGUCGGACUUGAGUGUAAAUGAGGUAGGCGGAAUGCGUGGUGUAGCGGUGAAAUGCAUAGAUAUCACGCAGAACUCCGAUUGCGAAGGCAGCUUACUAAGCUACAACUGACACUGAAGCACGAAAGCGUGGGGAUCAAACAGGAUUAGAAACCCGUGUAGUCC